UGGGGAAUAUUGCACAAUGGGCGCAAGCCUGAUGCAGCCAUGCCGCGUGUAUGAAGAAGGCCUUCGGGUUGUAAAGUACUUUCAGCGGGGAGGAAGGGAGUAAAGUUAAUACCUUUACUCAUUGACGUUACCCGCAGAAGAAGCACCGGCUAACUCCGUGCCAGCAGCCGCGGUAAUACGGAGGGUGCAAGCAUUAAUCGGAAUUACUGGGCGUAAAGCGCACGCAGGCGGUUUGUUAAGUCAGAUGUGAAAUCCCCGGGCUCAACCUGGGAACUGCAUCUGAUACUGGCAAGCUUGAGUCUCGUAGAGGGGGGUAGAAUUCCAGGUGUAGCGGUGAAAUGCGUAGGGAUCUGGAGGAAUACCGGUGGCGAAGGCGGCCCCCUGGACAAAGACUGACGCUCAGGUGCGAAAGCGUGGGGAGCAAACAGG
rnacentral:rRNA from 1 species